GACGAACGCUGGCGGCGUGCCUAAUACAUGCAAGUAGGACGCAGUUGCGAAUGGGUGAGUAACGCGUAGGUAACUACCUAUUAGAGGGGGAUAACUAUUGGAAACGAUAGCCAAUACCGCAUACUAGUAGAUGGACCUGCGUUGUAUUAGCUAGUUGUUAGGGUAAUGGCCUACCUAGGCAACGAUUCAUUGCCGACCUGUGAGGGUGAUGGGCCCCAGUGGAAAUGAGACACGGCCCAGACUCCUACGGGAGGCAACGGUAGGGAAUGUUCGGCAAUGGGGGGAACCCUGACCGGGCAACGCCGCGUGAGUGAAGAAGGUUAUCGAAUCGUAAAGCUCUGUUGUGAGGGAAGCGGUACUUAGACAGAAAGGGACGGCUAACUACGUGCCAGCAGCCGCGGUAAUAC
rnacentral:rRNA from 1 species